rnacentral:pre_miRNA from 1 species
UAGUCUCUCUAGGCUAAAUCUUUAUCUAUUAAUAUCAUAUCAUUACCCAAAUUCUUAGAAUCGCAUGUGUUUACAAGCCCAACUACAUCAUUCUUUCUAGGUUAUGGGGCACCCAAAACUCAUUCUUCAACUUAUUUUUUUACUUGAAA